rnacentral:lncRNA from 1 species
UGAGCCUUAAAGAGUGGGGUUUUGAAACGAGAGCACUGAGAAGAAGAAUUUAUUAUUUAUACCCUGCCCAUCUUGCUGGGCUUCCCCAGCCACUCUGGGCAGCUUCCAACAAAAUAUUAAAAGUACAUUAAAAGAUCAGUCAUUUAAAAUUUCCCUAGACGGGGCUGCCUUCAGAUGUCUUCUAAAAGUCAGAUAGUUGUUUAUUUCCUUAACAUCUGAUGGGAGGGCGUUCCACAGGGCGGGUGCCACUACUGAGAAGGCCCUCUGCCCUGUUCCCUGUAACUUGGCUUCUCACAGUGAGAGAACCACCAGAAGGCCCUCGGAGCUGGACCUCAGUGUCCUGGACCUCAGUGUCCAGGCUGAACGAUGGGGGUGGAGACGCUCCUUCAGUUAUACUGGGCUGAGGCCGUUUAGAGCUUUAAAGUUUAGCACCAACACUUUGAACUGUGCUCAGAAACGUACUGGAAGCCAAUGUAAGUCUUUCAAGACCAGUGUUAUGUGGUCUUGGCAGCUACUCCCAGUCACCAGUCUAGCUGCUGCAUUCUGGAUUAGUUGUAGUUUCUGGGUCACCUUCAAAGGGGGGUGCUUGGACAUGAAGCCUCAGAUCAGGGGCCAUGCCUGUGAAGAGUGGAGAAAAGGUAAGUGUGGAUGAGCCCUUAGUAUUUGUGUGUGCAAAACACAGUUAUCUAAAAGCUGGAAAUAAUGGGCAUGAUUUUGAGCAUAUCUAAGUCCCGUUGGUCUCAGUGCGAAUGUUACUUGUGCACAUAGGUUUUUUCCUACUGAAUUCAAUUGGGCUUGGAAAUGCUUACCUUUGGCUUCUUUCUCUGACAUUUUUGUUGCAUUUUAAAUCUUUCAAGAGAAACACAUUUAUCAUUGAACAGCCCAUUUGGAUGUUGUCAUGUUACUUAUUUUUUUACUACUGUCACUGAUAUGCUUAAUUUUUAGUAUAUAGCACUCCACAGUAAAUAAAAUCAGAGGAUUUUAUCACCAAUUUCUGCAGCGGGUAACACUCUUUUGUCCUAAUUAACACCAGAAGGUUUGGUUGCAAUUCUUUGCUAUCCGCAUAAGGUAUGUUUCUUGCUGCCAGCUUAAAACACUUAUUACUCAUUCAUGAGGGCUUCUGCAAUCUCUGUACUACCCUAGAUACCUUUUCCCACUCUAAAGACAGUGGGGUUUAGUUUACAUUUUCCUUCAUUGCUCUAAUACAUUUUGACAUCCCAGAUGUGGUGUAUCAUUAACACUGAAUAUACCCAUGACAGAUAACAUAAAGCAUUGUCAUUCAUAAAACAUUAUACUGUGGGAGUUAUCCUUGAAACCCCUUACUUCUACUUUCCCCCUAAUUUAAGGGUUUUUAUUUUUUCUAGUUCAUAAGUUUAUUGUUCCAGCCAAAGGCCAUGACAAACUUGCAGCGAUCGUAUUAAUAAAAUAAUACAGAACAUCCGCCCAUGAAAUAAGCCAACAUCCGUUUCUUGUUUCUUUUGGGUGGGGUAGCAUAAAGAUAUGAACAGCAAGUGAUUGCCUACAAAUCCACAGACCACUCGAUCCAGGUUAACUCAGUUGAAGUCAAGAAGAUUGCUUCAGGGAGAGUAAAUUCAUUAAGGAUUGCAGCCAGUGAAGAGGCUGAGGGGUUUGAGUAAUGUUUCGCAGCUAAUGAAGAUCAGAUAGGAAGUACUGAGAGGAGAGUUUAAUUGGUUAUAUUCUUCCUCAAUCUUCUAAUCCCAAAUUUUUCAAGGCCGACAAUGUUGCUGCUGUUCUCAUUUUAAACAUUUCAAUAUCCACCACCUUCAUUGCUGAUUUCCCUAGUCAAAUUGAAGGGGGAACCCCCAUAACUAUGCAUAUUUUUCUUUUCAGAAAACCCUGGGAGUUUUUGCAGUAUAGGCAAUAUAAAAGUGCCUCUAAAUUCCUGGACUUCGACAUGUGGAAAAUAUGGUGUCUUUGGAAACAUUCAGACUGCUAACAUGUGAGAUAUCAGGAAUGCUAUUUCAUUUGUGCUUUGGUCCCGAAAAGUCAAGACAUAGAGGUCUUGUGUGGGAGAGUGGGAAGGAUGUUCAGCUUGAAUGUGAUGAGGAAAAUCAAACCCACAUGAAACCUUUAAAAAGAAGGAUUCAGACAACUAAGCCACUCUUGAUGUGCAUUGGAAGUUCCUUAUUUUGUGGAUUUGCCACAAUUGGCUUCUGUGAGUGGUUAUCCACAUGCUUUACUAAUUAUCCCCAAUGUGCUUGAAGGCACAUUUAUGAAUGUCAAUCAUUUAUUGUCAAUUUAUGUUCUCCAGGGGGUGAGUGGAAUGGAAGCUAUUGAUAGUGCAGAAACGUUUUAGACUUAAUGCAUUAGCAUUUCCAUGAGGAUCAUACCACACAGUGACUUGACAAGUCCAUCUUCAUCCUAAAUAAACAUAACCUUUUGCAUCUCUUUUGCAGGCGACAGGAAAACUGAGCAAUUUCCUUAAGGGGGCUUUAAAUUCUUGGCACAAUGCCAGCACUCUUGUUGCAUUUUUGAAAGAAUAAAAUAUAACAUUCGUU